rnacentral:rRNA from 1 species
UACGUAGGUGGCAAGCGUUAUCCGGAUUUAUUGGGUGUAAAGGGCGUGUAGGCGGGAGCGCAAGUCAGAUGUGAAAACUCAGGGCUCAACCCUGAGCCUGCAUUUGAAACUGUGUUUCUUGAGUGCUGGAGAGGCAAUCGGAAUUCCGUGUGUAGCGGUGAAAUGCGUAGAUAUACGGAGGAACACCAGUGGCGAAGGCGGCUUACUGGACUGUAACUGACGUUGAGGCUCGAAAGCGUGGGGAGCAAACAGG